AAUAGAUACCCGGGUAGUCCAUGCCGUAAACGUUGGGAACUAGAUGUAGGGACCAUUCCACGGUUUCUGUGUCGCAGCUAACGCAUUAAGUUCCCCGCCUGGGGAGUACGGCCGCAAGGCUAAAACUCAAAGGAAUUGACGGGGGGCCCGCACAAGCGGCGGAGCAUGCGGAUUAAUUCGAGGCAACGCGAAGAACCUUACCAAGGCUUGACAUAUACGAGAACGCCCUAGAAAUAGGGAACUCUUUGGACACUCGUAUACAGGUGGUGCAUGGUUGUCGUCAGCUCGUGUCGUGAGAUGUUGGGUUAAGUCCCGCAACGAGCGCAACCCUCGUUCUAUGUUACCAGCACGUCAUGGUGGGAACUCAUAGGAGACCGCCGGGGUCAACUCGGAGGAAGGUGGGGAUGACGUCAAAUCAUCAUGCCCCUUAUGUCUUGGGCUUCACACAUGCUACAAUGGCCGGUACAAAGGGCUGCAAUACCGCAAGGUGGAGCGAAUCCCAAAAAGCCGGUCUCAGUUCGGAUUGAGGUCUGCAACUCGA
rnacentral:rRNA from 1 species